GGGCGGAUGUAGCCAAGUGGAUUAAGGCGGUGGAUUGUGAAUCCACAUGCGCG
rnacentral:tRNA from 1 species